UACGUAGGGUGCAAGCGUUGUCCGGAAUUAUUGGGCGUAAAGAGCUUGUAGGCGGUUUGUCGCUUCUGCUGUGAAAUUUCGGGGCUCAACCCCGAACUUGCAGUGGGUACGGGCAGACUAGAGUGUGGUAGGGGAGACUGGAAUUCCUGGUGUAGCGGUGAAAUGCGCAGAUAUCAGGAGGAACACCGAUGGCGAAGGCAGGUCUCUGGGCCACUACUGACGCUGAGAAGCGAAAGCAUGGGGAGCGAACAGG
rnacentral:rRNA from 1 species